rnacentral:ribozyme from 1 species
AAUAAACAUCCAAGAGAAAAAAAAAAGACCUUUCUAUAUGGUAAAAAACAAAUUUUGAAGAAGUAGUUUGAGAGGUGAUUCUGUUUCGUCUUUUUUUUUUUUUUUUUGGUUUUUUUUUUUUUUUUUUU